CAAGUCGAAUGGUAACAGGAAACAGCUUGCUGUUUCGCUGACGAGUGGCGGACGGGUGAGUAAUGUCUGGAAAACUGCCUGAUGGAGGGGGAUAACUACUGGAAACGGUAGCUAAUACCGCAUAACGUCGCAAGACCAAAGAGGGGGACCUUCGGGCCUCUUGCCAUCAGAUGUGCCCAGAUGGGAUUAGCUAGUAGGUGGGGUAACGGCUCACCUAGGCGACGAUCCCUAGCUGGUCUGAGAGGAUGACCAGCCACACUGGAACUGAGACACGGUCCAGACUCCUACGGGAGGCAGCAGUGGGGAAUAUUGCACAAUGGGCGCAAGCCUGAUGCAGCCAUGCCGCGUGUAUGAAGAAGGCCUUCGGGUUGUAAAGUACUUUCAGCGGGGAGGAAGGGAGUAAAGUUAAUACCUUUGCUCAUUGACGUUACCCGCAGAAGAAGCACCGGCUAACUCCGUGCCAGCAGCCGCGGUAAUACGGAGGGUGCAAGCGUUAAUCGGAAUUACUGGGCGUAAAGCGCACGCAGGCGGUUUGUUAAGUCAGAUGUGAAAUCCCCGGGCUCAACCUGGGAACUGCAUCUGAUACUGGCAAGCUUGAGUCUCGUAGAGGGGGGUAGAAUUCCAGGUGUAGCGGUGAAAUGCGUAGAGAUCUGGAGGAAUACCGGUGGCGAAGGCGGCCCCCUGGACGAAGACUGAC
rnacentral:rRNA from 1 species